rnacentral:rRNA from 3 species
UUUGCGGCGGCCAUGGCCCAGGGGAGACGCCCGGUCCCAUUCCGAACCCGGAAGCUAAGCCCUGGCACGGCGAUGGUACUAUGCCCGAGAGGACAUGGGAGAGUAGCACACCGCCGCAAC